rnacentral:rRNA from 1 species
ACUAGAGAGUAGUUGCGGUAGGCGGAAUGUAUGGUGUAGCGGUGAAAUGCUUAGAGAUCAUACAGAACACCGAUUGCGAAGGCAGCUUACCAAACUAUAUCUGACGUUGAGGCACGAAAGCGUGGGGAGCAAACAGGAUUAGAUACCCUGGUAGUCCACGCAGUAAACGAUGAUAACUCGUUGUCGGCGAUACACAGUCGGUGACUAAGCGAAAGCGAUAAGUUAUCCACCUGGGGAGUACGUUCGCAAGAAUGAAACUCAAAGGAAUUGACGGGGGCCCGCACAAGCGGAGGAACAUGUGGUUUAAUUCGAUGAUACGCGAGGAACCUUACCCGGGCUUGAAAGUUACUGACGAUUCUGGAAACAGGAUUUCCCUUUGGGGCAGGAAACUAGGUGCUGCAUGGUUGUCGUCAGCUCGUGCCGUGAGGUGUCGGGUUAAGUCCCAUAACGAGCGCAACCCCUACCGUUAGUUGCCAUCAGGUCAAGCUGGGCACUCUGGCGGGACUGCCGGUGUAAGCCGAGAGGAAGGUGGGGAUGACGUCAAAUCAGCACGGCCCUUACGUCCGGGGCUACACACGUGUUACAAUGGUAGGUACAGAGGGCAGCUACCCAGUGAUGGGAUGCGAAUCUCGAAAGCCUAUCUCAGUUCGGAUUGGAGGCUGAAACCCGCCUCCAUGAAGUUGGAUUCGCUAGUAAUCGCGCAUCAGCCAUGGCGCGGUGAAUACGUUCCCGGGCCUUGUACACACCGCCCGUCAAGCCAUGGAAGCUGGGGGUGCCUGAAGUUCGUGACCGCAAGGAGCGACCUAGGGCAAAACCGGU